UACGUAGGGUGCAAGCGUUGUCCGGAAUCACUGGGCGUAAAGGGCGCGUAGGUGGCGACCCAAGUCGAUGGUGAAAGCUCGCCGCUCAACGGCGAGUCGGCCACCGAUACUGGGUUGCUGGAGCACUGUAGAGGCAGAUGGAAUUCCGGGUGUAGCGGUGGAAUGCGUAGAGAUCCGGAAGAACACCGGUGGCGAAGGCGGUCUGCUGGGCGAGUUGCUGACACUGAGGCGCGACAG
rnacentral:rRNA from 1 species